AUUGAACGCUGGCGGCAUGCUUUACACAUGCAAGUCGAACGGCAGCACGAAAGAGCUUGCUCUUUUGGUGGCGAGUGGCGAACGGGUGAGCAAUGCAUCGGAACGUACCGAGUAAUGGGGGAUAACUGUCCGAAAGGAUAGCUAAUACCGCAUACGCUUUGAGAAGGAAAGUGGGGGCUCUUCGGACCUCACGUUAUUCGAGCGGCCGAUGUCUGAUUAGCUAGUUGGUGGGGUAAAGGCCUACCAAGGCGACGAUCAGUAGCGGGUCUGAGAGGAUGAUCCGCCACACUGGGACUGAGACACGGCCCAGACUCCUACGGGAGGCAGCAGUGGGGAAUUUUGGACAAUGGGCGCAAGCCUGAUCCAGCCAUGCCGCGUGUCUGAAGAAGGCCUUCGGGUUGUAAAGGACUUUUGUUAGGGAAGAAAAGGAUAGUGUUAAUACCAUUAUCUGCUGACGGUACCUAAAGAAUAAGCACCGGCUAACUACGUG
rnacentral:rRNA from 1 species